ensembl:lncRNA
AUGCCUGUUUGUAUACGUAGAAUGUUAUCGGAACACAAUGCCCAUGUGUUUAUGCAGCAUCUGUGGCUGCUUUCCUAUAGCCUGGCAGAGUUGAUACCUGUGACAGGUCCUGUAGCUCACCAUGCCUCAAAUACCUACUUGCUCUCUGGCUUUGUGCAGAGUUGGUUUGCUGUCCCCUUGGUCUACGGUCAACGUUUUCAAAGAGAAGAUUGCAGGGAACCAACACCACCCUUGAAAAUCCUGCAGGAAGCCAAGGGGGCUGUGUUGUCACCUGAUGAACUCUGUUCGUAUUUCCCCAGCAGUUUCUCCACUGAACACCGGGUGAAGCGGUCGGUGUAUGUGCUGAGAAAUGACCCUUUGGAAGUACCCUCCCUAUGUGAGUCACGCAACGGGCGAUGCUUGCAACCCUGGUGCACAUCUUCAUAGCAUGAGGAAACUGCUCUUUUCAUUUUCACCAGCAGUUUUUGCUCUUCAGGAGGUCAUUUGUAACUGGAGGGCGAAGGGGUGACGGUCGACCAGGAGCCCAAGACGGCCAUGGACCGAGCGGCAUGGGACCGAGGCGCCUGUGCCCAGGUCUCUGGCCUUGAAGCACCUCCUGCUCAACUUCCGCCGCAGCCAAACUGCAACCAGCAUGAACUGUGAAAACCUCGGUCACUGAUUUGAAACCAGGCUUUCGAAUCUCCCACCGGGGCUCCCCAGCACCUCCAGGCAACGUCUGAUUUAGAAUUUCAUUUGCACUUUGGAAAAUGUAGAUGCAGCAGGCCAGGCAUGGAAUGGAUACAAAGGGAAGAUUAAGUAGCACUUGAAUUUGAUGAGAUGGGGAAAGCCUUGUGUGUGCCCACCUUGGCUCACUGUGGAACCGUCUGGAAGGUUUUAGGAUUCCUGAGACGCAGGCCACGGUGGAGACGGAGCAAGUCAGGCUCUCUGGCGGGGGGCUCCCAAGCAGCAGGUGAACCCACGGAGCACCUCGGCUGGUAAGCACUCAAACCCAGUGUGGACAAGGGCACGGUUACUGGAUCGAAGCCACAGAAACUUGGCAAAGGAAGGAAGGCUGUAUCUCAUUUUCGUUUUUCUAUAGCGGAGAGCAUUUGAGCAGCUCCUGCUUAGAAAAGGGCGUGUGAGCUGUUCUGUUUAGACUUCGCGUGUGGGCGACGUCACCGUGAAGUCGUUUUCACCAUCUGGCCAGGCAGCCGGAAGCCAUUCUGGUUUGUAUAAAACCAAACCAGUGGAGGGAGGCGGCGAGGAAAGCUCACCCAAAUAAUUGGCUUUUCUGAGUGACAUGGGAGGGAAGUCAUCCUUUCCAAAGUUUUUUUUUUUUCUUUUUGUGUUUUUCCAUAGACAAUAUCUCUAAAGCCAAGAUUUAAUUAAAUAGAAGUGUGGGAGCCAGCAUUGUGGCGCAGUGGGUUAGGUUGCUGCCUCUGGUGCCCGCAUCCCAUACCUGAAGAGCAAUGUGAGUCCUGGCUGCCCUGCUUCUGAUCCGGCUCCCUGCCAAUGCUCCUGGGAAGGUAGCGGAUGAUGCUCCAAGUACUUGGGCCCCUGCCACCCAUGUGGGAAACCCGGAUGGAAUUCCUGGCUCUUGGCUUCAGCCUAGCCCAGCCCUGGUGUUGAGGUCAUUUGGGGAGUGAACCACUGGAUGGAAGAUUGAUAUGUCUCUCUCUCUCUCACACUCUGUUUUUCAAAUAAAUAAAUAAAUCUCGAAGCA